CUUCAACCUCUAUUAUUCGCAAAAGGAUGGGGAAGAAAAAUUGGGUUUAUCAAGUUAUUUGAACCCAAAAAUCAAACAGUAUAUUUCGGGAAAUUACCCAAAAAUCAAACCUCUAUUAUGCUUCUCUUUGUAAAAUUACUCCUUUUUCUUGUGUUUGGUUUUGCUCCAACAAAUGGGCUCAAAGUGUUCCCUUCCAAAUUGGAAACCAUCUAAAUAAUUAUCACUUUUUCAAGAACAACAACAUCAUCAAUUGUGAUUCCGACGAACUCGAGUGGAAAGGUGUCGUCGUCGGUGAAUCAAUUGCUAUCUUUCAUUAUUCCGAUAUUGAAUACAUUAGUUACGAUGGAGAACAUCACCUCCCCCUAAUAUC
rnacentral:lncRNA from 1 species